AGAAUGUGGGGUGAGUAGAAUGGUCCGCCUAUUCUAGCAGGGCUUAUUUUGAUUGGCGGAGGAUGACUUCAGUCUUUGCACGAGGCUUUAUUUUGGUUGACUGAGUCACUAACGACCGUUUCAAACGCAAUAAAAAAUGGUUAACUACAGGAUUUUUACAUAAUACAAAUGAUUGCAACAUUUGUAUUUUUUGUAUUAUGCAACUUUGGGACGUGGGAGCGAGAUAACUAUUGGAAUGGACUUUCUUGUAAACUAGGGUCAAGAACACUGUAUUCUCUAAGAGCACCAGCUUUUCAGCCACUUCCUGAGUCACCAAAAGGAAAAGAUGUUUGGAAAUGUCUGACAGAGAUGCACAUGUGGGAAAGAAGACUAGUGACAAAAAGACAGUUCUCUUACAAUCAAAUGUUAUAAUUUUGCAAUACACCCCUGUUUUGAAGUAAGUGCAGAUGUAAAAUAUCACACUAAGAAUGAUUGAACUGCACCUAGUUUAAUGAAACCAUUGCUUUGCAUUUACUGUUAAACACUUACACUAGGAAAAAAAACAGGCAGCAGUAAUUUUUUAUUUGAUUUUUAGAACAAGAGUAGAAAGUUUGCACUUCAGAUGUUGACAAUGAUAAUGCAUUCAAUAACAUUAAUUUGUGCUCAUUGUUUAAUUAUUAAUUGGUAAUUGUUUUAUUGUUUUGGCAGUUGGCCUCAUUAUUAUUAAAUUAGAGCUAGUCGUCUAUACCUGUUUCUCUGGGGCAUAUAAACCCCAGAGUUAGUUCAUUCUGGUCUGCUACUGUGUGAAGAGCCAGACUGUGCAUCGUAGUCUGUGUGAAAAAGAUAGUGUAUUUUUGCAUUUUAUGCCAGGUAAACAGCUUGGCUGUAUUGCACACUAGCCAGGGAACCUGCAUAAAUGUAUAGUAAGUUCUCGGAGGAGCUAGGUGUUUGUUUUUUAUUAUUUUGUUGUUUAAAAUAAGUGCGCAAAUAAAGCACCGAAAAAUCAAGCUCAGUUUCUGGGUCAUGUUUUUAUAGAGGCAUGAACCCGAAAUAAGGCCAUCUUGGUCACAAGUCUUUAAUGCAAUAUAGUACAUGUACACAUAUAUUAUGGCUUCUGUGGGUGCUAACUUGCUGUUUUUCAUGUAUGGGGCAAAAGAUACAACCUGUGUUUGUGACUUUGUAAUUGCUUGACUU